AAUCGCAAAGCUAGAGUCCCUUCGCGGCGGCGAUUGUAUACGCGCCGACCACAGUGACGCGCGCCUAUCUUGUUCUUUCCAUUAUCGUUAGUUGGCCGGACACUCCUACGCUUUUUCGAGACAGCGGUGCCCAAUCGCGGGUCCUCUACGUUUUCUUUUCCAAGGCGCAUGCGCAUAACGUUCCGCUGCCAUAAAAGCACGCGGCCAACUUGUUGACCUGCGGCCGCGAUCCAGCGAAGCGACAAGCGCCUUUAGGAUUCGCGGUGACUGAGUUCGUACAAGUCCUGUGGAUCAACGAUCACAAGAUGCGAUCCUGUUUCCAGUACUCAGCUGCACUGUUGAUCGCACUGCUCGUCGGCUUUGCUUUAGCCCAACGUGGUUUCCCUGGUCGACGCUGCGGGCCCGGUGAGCAGUUUUCCCAGUGCAGCACUGCCUGCCCCGCAAUUUGUGGCCAGCCACCGCCGCAGGCCUGCGCUUUCAAGUGCGUCACCGGGUGCGUCUGCAGACCUGGAUUGAUUCGCGCUUUCAACGGAUGGUGUGUGCCCGAGCGCCUCUGUGUCCGAAGACAAUAAAGCCUCAUUAAAAACAUAACUCCGUAGUCUCG
rnacentral:lncRNA from 1 species